rnacentral:snRNA from 1 species
AGAUGUGAGGGUGAUCUGGCUGCGACAUCUGUCAUCCCAUUAAUUGCCAGCGUUGAUUCGGCUGAUCUGGCUGGCUAGGCGGGUGUCCCCUUCCUCCCUCACUGUUCUAUGCGUGUCCCUCCCGAAGUUGUGCGCUCGGUCGAAGAGGACGGCCUUCCCCGAACAGAGACAGAAAGGUCUUCGGUGGGAAUAGAGUCAGAAAGGCCUUUGGUGGAGGGUAUAGGAAUAGCUGCGCUCCCCUGCUAGAACCUUCAAAGGAGCUCUCAAAAUAUCAACCAUCUUCCAUCUGUUCCAUCUGAUUUUUCUUCAGCUCUGUUGAUAGCA